rnacentral:rRNA from 1 species
GACCUUGAGUCUCCUGAAGGAACGUUGAAGACGACGACGUUGAUAGGUCGGGUGUGUAAGCGCAGCGAUGCGUUGAGCUAACCGAUACUAAUGAACCGUGAGGCUUAACCUU